rnacentral:rRNA from 1 species
AACGAACGCUGGCGGCAUGCCUAACACAUGCAAGUCGAACGAGACCUUCGGGUCUAGUGGCGCACGGGUGCGUAACGCGUGGGAACCUGCCCUUAGGUUCGGAAUAACUCCCCGAAAGGGGUGCUAAUACCGGAUAAUGUCUUCGGACCAAAGAUUUAUCGCCUUUGGAUGGGCCCGCGUUGGAUUAGCUAGUUGGUAGGGUAAAAGCCUACCAAGGCGACGAUCCAUAGCUGGUCUGAGAGGAUGAUCAGCCACACUGGGACUAAGACACGGCUCAGACUCCUACGGGAGGCAGCAGUGGGGAAUAUUGGACAAUGGGCGAAAGCCUGAUCCAGCAAUGCCGCGUGAGUGAUGAAGGCCUUAGGGUUGUAAAGCUCUUUUACCCGGGAUGAUAAUGACAGUACCGGGAGAAUAAGCUCCGGCUAACUCCGUG